GACUAAGCGAUGCUUGAGCGU
rnacentral:misc_RNA from 1 species